UGAAUUAUGAAUCAUCAUAUAUUUAUUGUACAGUAACUAGACAACCAUGUUUGAUAAAUGAUAUAAGUGAAAGACCCAAGAAAGGUCAUCCUUAGUGAUCAACAAUAUCACCACCGAAACCAGCGUUCCUACACCUCUCCUUGGCCCAAAAGGAAUGAAAGAGACAAAAAUGAAUAAGCAUACACUCAACUACUAAGUGUUUUGAUAAGUUACAUCUCAACUGGUAAGUAAUAGUGAAGAAAAAUAACAAUGCACUAUUUAUACCUUUGACUAGUGAUCAACAAUAUCACAACCAAAACCAGCGUUCCUACACCUCUCUCCUUGGCCCAAAAAGGAUUAGAAAGAGACAAAAU